rnacentral:rRNA from 1 species
AUUGAGCGAGAGUUUGAUCCUGGCUCAGGACGAACGCUGGCGGCGUGCCUAACGCAUGCAAGUCGGACGGGCAGGGCCUUUGGGACCUGCGACCGUGGCGGACGGGUGCGG